UCUCAACUGCCCACAGAGGAGCUUGCUCCCUGGGUGGCCAGUGGCGGACGGGUGAGGAAUACAUCGGAAUCUACUUUUUCGUGGGGGAUAACGUAGGGAAACUUACGCUAAUACCGCAUACUAUUUACGGGUGAAAGCAGGGGACCUUCUGGCCUUGCGCGAUUGAAUGAGCCGAUGUCGGAUUAGCUAGUUGGCGGGGUAAAGGCCCACCAAGGCGACGAUCCGUAUCUGGUCUGAGAGGAUGAUCAGCCACACUGGAACUGAGACACUGUCCACACUCCUACGGCAGGCACCAGUGGGGAAUAUUGGACAAUGGGCGCAAGCCUGAUAACCCAUACCGCGUGGGUGAAGAAGGCCUUCGGGUUGUAAAGCCCUUUUGUUGGGAAAGAAAUCCUGCUGGCUAAUACCCGGUUGGGAUGACGGUACCCAAAGAAUAAGCACCGGCUAACUUCGUGCCAGCCUCCGCGGUAAUACGAAGGGUGCAAGCGUUACUCGGAAUUACUGGGCGUAAAACCGUGCGUAGGUGGUCGUUUAAGUCCGUUGUGAAAGCCCUGGGCUCAACCUGGGAACUGCAGUGGAUACUGGGGCGACUAUAAUGUGGGUAAAGGGUGCGGAAUUCCUGGUGUACCACUGAAAGCUUACAGAUCAGAAGGAACAUCCAUGGCGAAGGCAGCUA
rnacentral:rRNA from 1 species